GAUCAUUCCCCUGCAAUUUCACUGCUCAAUUCACUGUCAUUUAGGAGUUAAAUCACAUUGUUUCUGUUUAUGCAGCCCUAGCCACACCUCCCCUGGCUAUGAUUGACAGAGCCUGCAUGAAAAAAAAACUGGUUUCACUUUCAAACAGAUGUAAUUUACCUUAAAUAAUUGUAUCUCAAUCUCUAAAUUGAACUUUAAUCACAUACAGGAGGCUCUUGCAGGGUCUAGCAAGCUAUUAACAUAGCAGGGGAUAAGAAAAUCUUAAUUAAACAGAACUUGCAACAAAGAAAGCCUAAAUAGGGCUCUCUUUACAGGAAGUGUUUAUGGAAGGCUGUGCAAGUCACAUGCAGGGAGGUGUGACUAGGGUUCAUAAACACAGGGAUUUAACUCCUAAAUGGCAGG